CCGAGUCCAAAGCCAUGUCCAUCGGACUCACCAACUAGGUGGCCGUCAACAUCCACAAGCCCUGCCUGGAUAGGAAGCCAGUCAGAGGGUCACAGGUCACACCCUGCACAUCCUGGUGUUACCUUUUCUGGGGCAGCGCCAGCUCCGGUUUGACCCAUGACACUUGCUGCCUCUGCAAAGGGCUGAGGAUGGAGAAUCUGGGGGAGCAGGGGCGACCCACCGGCUCCUGGUGAGGACUUCGAUGGCCUGCACAGAAAAGCACUUUUUAUCCUGAGGACCUACCCCUCCUUGCAUGCUACUGCCUCCCUCUCCUCAACCCACUCCAACGUGGGCCCUGAGUCUUCUUGCAACCAGCCUGACUUCCAUCCUUCAGCAGCUGCACCCCUCCAGGCUGCUGCGAAACCAGCAGUUUCCCUGCACAGACCUUGUGUUCAUAGAGCAAAAUGCUUAUCAGAAAGAUGAUAAACACAUUCCCAUCAGAUGAUGGGGAGACCAGCAAUGCAGGUUUCGGAACAGAAAUGGCAUUACAGUAAAUGGAAGACCUUGGCAUCAGGUGCAGCGUUCACCCAGCAAGGUUCGUGUGUGCUAAUGUGACAGUCCUGAGCCAGGGAACACAACUAAUGAAACAAAGUGGGCAUGGUGUCGCACGCUGGAAUCCCGGUACCUGGGAGUUCACAGCCAGCCUGGACUACAUAGCGAGACCCUGUCCCAACAAACAAAAACCAGAUAAAUGAAGUGGCCCUCUGCUUUGUAGACAGGGCUCUAGCUAAUAUUUAUUCAAUACUUACUCCGGGACAGUGAUGUGCUCAGAGGUUUCUACACAUGAAAACUUUCUUCACAAAAAACCCCCAUGGGUGGAUUCAGUUAAUUCUCCAAUUUAUCAGUGAAGAAACAAGUUCAAUUUUUCCAAGGCUACACAGUUAUUGAGCAGGCUCUUGAACCCAGUGCAGGGCUCUUCAGCACUGUGCCAGUGGAUCUCAAAGUGGGGCUCCCAGAGCAGCAGCUAUAAUAGCAUCACCACCUGGGAAUCUGUGGAGAACGAACGUCCUCCAGCCACCCAGGACAGACAAGUCAGAAACUCUGAGAACGGCCCCCGGUGGUGCUGAUGCCAGCUCAAGUUUGGGAAGCACUGUUCUCAGCACCAGUCCCUCAAACCCUAGGUUAGUUCCACAGAGCUAUGUGUCUGUGUUUUCCUUCAGGAUUUCGGAUCUGAAGAGUUUAGCUCUCAGUCAUGAGCUUAGGGCUCAGGAAGGAGGAUGGUUGCAAGUUCAAGGCCAGCCUGGGCUACAUAGUGAGACCGUCUCAAAACAAAACAAAAUAAAACACAACACAAUACCAGUCAGCUCUGAGGAAAUCUCACGGAGAAGCCCAGGGCUCAGAGUUCCUGGGCCCUACAGGUCACGUGGGUGACAGACAAACCCAGCCCUCCCACCACUGUGGUGGCCCCUAAGGGACUGUCUCCAGGGACUCUACAGCCCCUCCCUGUCCCAGUAUAAAGAGGGACUGAGCCAGGGCCAAGAGGCGGACCGGGCCGUGGGGGUUCCUUCCUGCCUAGGAACACAUCACCCCAUGGAGCAGCGGCUGCCCACAG